UAGUCCACGCCCUAAACGAUGUCUACUAGUUGUCGGGUCUUUAUUGACUUGGUAACGCAGCUAACGCAUGAAGUAGACCGCCUGGGGAGUACGGCCGCAAGGUUAAAACUCAAACGAAUUGACGGGGACCCGCACAAGCGGUGGAGCAUGUUGUUUAAUUCGACGCAACGCGAAGAACCUUACCUACACUUGACAUACUCGUCGGGACUUUCAGAGAUGAUUGUCUUCGGUUCGGCCGGACGAUGUACAGGUGCUGCACGGCUGUCGUCAGCUCGUGUCGUGAGAUGUUUGGUUAAGUCCAGCAACGAGCGCAACCCCUAUCGUAUGUUGCCAGCAUUUAGUUGGGCACUCAUGCGAGACUGCCGGUGUUAAGCCGGAGGAAGGUGGGGACGACGUCAAGUCAUCAUGGCCCUUACGUGUAGGGCUACAAACGUGCUACAAUGGGAGUUACAGUGGGCAGCGACGUCGCGAGGCGAAGCAAAUCCCUAAAAGCUCUCUCAGUUCGGAUAGGA
rnacentral:rRNA from 1 species